UGCCGGCGACCGGCGGACGGGUGCGUAACGCGUAUGUAACCUACCUUUGACAGGGGGAUAACAUCGAGAAAUUGGUACUAAUACCCCAUAACAUCACCGGAGGCAUCUUCGGUGGUUGAAAACUCAGGUGGUCAGAGAUGGACAUGCGUUGUAUUAGCUAGUUGGUGAGGUAACGGCUCACCAAGGCGACGAUACAUAGGGGGACUGAGAGGUCAACCCCCACAUUGGUACUGAGACACGGACCAAACUCCUACGGAAGGCAGCAG
rnacentral:rRNA from 1 species